GUUCUACCUUGACGAAUUGUAGUUUAAAGAAGUGUUUUCUGUUAGAUGAGUAGCAAAAGUUCCUUGGAAUGGGACAUCAUAGAGGGUGAGAAUCCCGUAUUUGGUUAUUCAUUCUAGCUUUGUGAUACACUUUCAAAGAGUCGGAUUGUUUGGGAAUGCAGUCCAAAAUGGGUGGUAAAUUUCAUCUAAAGCUAAAUAUUGGCGAGAGACCGAUAGCGAACAAGUACCGUGAGGGAAAGAUGAAAAGAACUUUGAAAAGAGAGUUAAACAGUACGUGAAAUUGUCAAAAGGGAAGCGUUUGACACCAGUGUUGUUUUUCCGAAAAUCAAUUACGAAUGGCUUGAUUUUGUGUUGUAUUGGCCUUAUCAGCUUUCUUCACUUUUUUCGAGUCUUUCUU
rnacentral:rRNA from 1 species